UGGCCAGACUCCUACGGGAGGCAGCAGUGGGGAAUAUUGCACAAUGGGCGAAAGCCUGAUGCAGCAACGCCGCGUGAAGGAAGACGGUUUUCGGAUUGUAAACUUCUGUUCUUAGUGAAGAAUAAUGACGGUAACUAAGGAGCAAGCCACGGCUAACUACGUGCCAGCAGCCGCGGUAAUACGUAGGUGGCAAGCGUUGUCCGGAAUUACUGGGUGUAAAGGGAGCGUAGGCGGGAAGCCAAGUCAGCUGUGAAAACUACGGGCUUAACCUGUAGACUGCAGUUGAAACUGGCUUUCUUGAGUGAAGUAGAGGUUGGCGGAAUUCCGAGUGUAGCGGUGAAAUGCAUAGAUAUCGCGCAGAACUCCGAUUGCGAAGGCAGCAUGCCGGCUCCACACUGACGCUGAAGCACGAAAGCGUGGGUAUCGAACAGGAUUAGAUACCCGCGUAA
rnacentral:rRNA from 1 species